CAGCUCGUGUCGUGAGAUGUGGUUAAGUCCGCAACAGCGCAACCCCUAUUGUUAGUUGCCAUCAUUCAGUUGGGCACUCUAGCGAGACUGCCGGUAAUAAACCGGAGGAAGGUGGGGAUGACGUCAAAUCAUCAUGCCCCUUAUGACCUGGGCUACACACGUGCUACAAUGGUUGGUACAACGAGUUGCGAGUCGGUGACGGCGAGCUAAUCUCUUAAAGCCAAUCUCAGUUCGGAUUGUAGGCUGCAACUCGCCUACAUGAAGUCGGAAUCGCUAGUAAUCGCGGAUCAGCACGCCGCGGUGAAUACGUUCCCGGGCCUU
rnacentral:rRNA from 1 species